CAUAAUUAAGAAUUGUUAAAUUACUUCAGUGUCUAGUCUUACAUUUCAUUACAGUAGUUAUGUACUGUACAAUAUUUACGUGUUGUGUGUUAAAAGGCAGAUUUUCCUUGAACCUUCGUGUAUUAUAGUUUGAGCGGGCAACAGCAUGAUAAUGGGCUGUAAUACAUCACUCCCCAUUGUCAUUGACUAAGCAAUAACUGUUAAAGCCCUUAAAUUUACUUUACCUAUUUACAAGAAGGUACAAUGGGUUUGAGAGGUUAUAUAAUAUUGGUACAGUAUUUUUACAUCCUUGCAAAGCAACUCUCAUUUCAGGCAGGUCCUUAAUCUAACAGGUCAGGCAAGAUGAAAAGGAACAUUAUAGCAAAAUUUUUUAGAUCAACAUAUAACAGCAAUAUAAAUUUAGAGGUGAUUACACUGGUGAAAAUGUGUCUUUAGUACUUAAUAUUGGGGGAGUGGGUAGCACAAGAUAGUGAGUUUGAAGCAUAAAGUAAGAAACCAAGGAUGAAAUUAGGUACUUGGUUAUUCUUUUGAAUAAGGCAUAGGUUGGAUAAUUUUUUUAAUUUAUUAGGGAGCGAGUUUCAUAGACUGGGUCCUUUUAUUUGCAUAGUGUUUGUACAGAUUUAGUUAGACUGGGGAUAUCAAAGAUAUUCAUUUCUGGUGUGGUGCUCAUGGAAUCUAUUACAACCAUCAAGGAAAAGUUUCAGAUCAAGAUUGGCAUUUAAGACACAGGGUUUUAUACAUGUAAAUAGCACAAUAGAAUGUGUGGAGUGCGUGUUUAGUGACUUAACCAGAGGGGCUGUGCGUUGUCUGUUGGUUACAGUGCUAAUAGAUUUUUGCAGUGAUGAUGGGCUUUAGGUAAUUUGCAGUGGAUAAACCCUAUGCACAGAUAGCAUAUGCAAGAUAAGGAUAGAUUAGAAAGUAGUAUAAUGAGAGUAAUGGGGGGGGGGGGACAUUAUGUCUGAUUUUAGAGUAUACCGGCUGUUUGAGCCUUUUCUUUUUGGUUGUGUUGUAUGUGGGUGCUCAAGUUGUCUCUAUGUAUAAGCCAAGAAACUUUCCUUAUUUUUAUUGCUAAUGUUAACAUUGUCUAUUUGAAGUUUUUUAUAAUUUGCCUCCAAAUAUAAUGGUGUAGGUCUUUUCUAUGUUUAGUCAGUUUUUUGGUCGACAUCCAUUAGUGAACUUUUUUUUCUAAAUUUAUUAUUUACAGUAUUAUUUAAUGUGGGGAUUGGGGGUCAGAAAAUAUGACGGUAGUGUCAUCAGCAAAUAUAAGUUUAAGAAUGUUAUAAACAUUUGGAAAAUUAUUGGGGAUUAUGGGAAUUCAUUUUUGUCAAGGGCUGUGUGGAUUACAUUAAGCCGACUAAUAAUAGAAUCAUUGGUACUCUUUUUUUUUUGGGGGGGGGGGGGGGGGGACAAAGCAAAACUGGUAGGGACUUAAUAUGUUGAGUUUUACAAGGUAAGAAUAGAGCCAUUUGUAAAUAAUUUGUUGAAAUAUUUUUGAAAGUAUAGGUAAUUUGAUAUUGUCUGUAAUUGUUAAUUAGCUGUCUCGCCUCCUUUAUGAACUGGCAUUACUCUUCCUUUUUUAAGAAUAUUUUGAAACAUGACAUUUGUUGAAUAGCAGAGCUAUGGGUAGUUAAAGAGCGGCAUUAUUAUAUACCGUAGAUGGUAUUUCACUAACGUUCCCAGCUUUGGUUGUUUUAACCGAUUGAAUUAUGGAUAAGUCUGUUGGGCUGACAGGUAAAAAAAAAAAAUAGUGUUAGGAUAGCUGCUGGUGAGAUAUGUAGUAACAUGUCUAGGUCUCUUGGAAUUUGUUAGCACCUUGCAAUUUCACCUUCAGACAAUGUAAACAUUAACACUAAAAAUGAUGGAAAGUUCCUUGGCCCAUACAUGGAUAAGAGACUACGCUUCAGCACUAACAUACAACACAGCCAAAAACAGUCUCUUAAAAUUGGAUAUGUUCCCACUGCUCUCCUUUCAUUAUACUGUACUCUAUAAUCUAUCCUAACAUACAGUAUCUGUACAUGAAGUGAAACCACUGCAAAUUACCUCAAACCCAUCAAAAACUCUGCAAUCAGAACUAUCAUGGACAACAGCCCCACUGUUUAAGUCCUUAAACAUGCACUCUACACAUUUUCUUAUGCUAUUUACAUGUAUAAAAUCUUAUUCCUAAAUGCUAAUCCUGAUCUGAAACUCUUAAUAGAUGUAAUAGAACCCAUUAGCACCACAACAUAAAUAUAAUAUUGCUAGUCAGACUAAAUCUCUGCCAACUUUCCAUGCAAAGUAAAGAACCUAGUCAAAGAGACUCACUCCUUAAUAAAUUAUCCAACCUAUACUUUGGGUACUUUUUGCUUUUACUUUUGAAUAAUUUCAUCUCAUGGUUUCCAACUUUAUGCUACCCUACUCAUCCAAACAAGUACUUUUGACAUAGAAUAGUUAUUGAAAUUGUCAAUUUGUAAUGUAGUUAUGUUGAACUCAAAUUGUUACCAUUAUUGUUUAGCUUGAGGACCUGCCCGAAACACUAUGCUUGUUGGUGGCUUUGCAAGAUUGUUACGAACCAAAAUGUAUGUACUUUCUCAACCCAAUGUACCUUCUUGUAUAAAAAUAAAUAAAUUCUAAGUGAGGAGAAGGGAUGCUGGUGGAGGAGAGGGAGCAGGACGCUGUGGAACGGGGAAAGUUUGCGUGUAUGGGGAGGUGUGGCGGGGGACGUGCACUUGUAGGUGGAGAAUGGGCUUUUUAGAUGGCAGGCUAGGCAGAUAUGUGGAUUGAAAUUGAAAUAAGUUUAUUGAGGUAAAAUACACACAAAGGGAUGAGGUAGCUCAAGCUAUUCUCACCCCGUUCAGUACAUCGUGUUAAUAAAUACAUAAAAACACAUCACAACAAUAAACAUAUUACCAAACAUUCUGAGAUAAAUGUCUACAGUUCAUCCUUUACACAAGUAAUAUGGUACCAGACGUACACAAAUACUUUUAUGACCUAGAUAUACUGUAUAGAUAAUUUGCAAGUAACAUGCAGAUAAUUCAACAAAAAGUUAGUCUUGGUGCAAAAUUCUUAUGUCUCAAGAAUAUCAUCAACCUUUUCGUUGUGACAUCCUGGCUAUUUGUUCAGGAACAGUCCUUAUAUGUGGAUGGUGGUCUUGUGAAGGGACACUUGGUUAAGGUGUAAGGAGGCACUCGGAGAGAACUAGUAAAGUGAGUGGAAGGGCAGGAGACGUUGCUGUUUGAAUUGUUUUACUUUGCUUUGGUUGGUAAAAUGAAAGCAAAGUUUUUGUUUGCUUUCGAAAGCAAACGAAAGUUUUCGUUUGCUUUCGAAAGUUGAAAGCAAAUGAAAGUUUGCUGGUUUGACCAGCUGGUUGACCAGACCACCACCAGGAGGCUUGGUCAGAGACCAGGACAAAGGAACCCUUGAAAUCAAUGCAAGGUAACCACAAAGAGGCGGAGCCCAAGAACUACAUUUCCUUUAUUAUCUUAGUUUAAUAUACAGUACUGUAACUAUUUUUUAAUUUGAAUUUAACUAUUAAUAGCUAAAUUAUAACAUAACUAGAGGCAGGGCCCAAGAAAUAAAGUCCAACAUGACAGACUGAUCCUUUAAAUUACAAGACACCAAAAUUACAGCUUAUCCCUGACAUGCUAUACGACAAUGUGCUGGGAAGACGGGACACCACGAGCGUAGUUCUCAUCUUGUAACUACACUUAGGUAAUUACGAAUAUCACCUUUUUGAUGACUGGUAAUGCCAACUAUGACCCUGACACAAGGGGGGGGGGAUCCUUUUUAACUAUGAAAGUGUAAUCCGAAUGGGCCCAAAACUGAAAAUUCAUCUUUAAGCCUUUAUUCCCAUUACUGAGCUCAAACACCAUCUUGGGCUCCACACAUGUUAACACGUAGCCCUUGGCAUCACACCUUGCGCGCUCACACUACCCUUGACCCUCAAGGGUGAGAAGCAGUGACAGUAUGAAAAUGACAUCGCGAGUAAAGCAAAGACCCAACCAAAACUGCUCUACAGCCACAUCAGGAGGAAAACAGCAGUGAAGGAACAAGUGAUGAAACUGAGAAAAGGGGAGAACAGAUACACAGAAUGACAAGGUGGUGUGUGAAGAACUCGUAAAAGUGGAGCUGUUGGGGCUGACAAUCUCACCAUAGAUACUGAAAGAGGGUGCAGAGGCACUAAGUGUGCCACUCUAUGGUCACAGAAACAGGAGAGCUACCAGAAAGCUGGAAGACAGCUAAUGUAGUCCCAAUAUACAAAAAGGGUGACAGGCAAGAGGCACUGAACUACAGUGCAGUUUCCCUAACUUGUAUACCAUGCAAGGUUUAUUUUAUUUAUCUAUUUAUACAAGAGUUCUUACAUUCUUUUACAGCCACUAGCACGCAUAACGUUUUGGUCCAGUCCUUAAUCCUCUGAACCAUCGCAAGGUAAGGUAACCACAAAUGCUGCUCAUUCCAUCCGUAACACCACGCAUGCUUCGCACACUAUCCUUGACACUAUACAUGCUGUACGCACAUCUUAGCACCACACACACACUGCGCCCCUCUCGGUAUUAUUACCACAUCGAAAGCAUAUACUUCUAACAUGCAAUCAACUAUUAUAAUAAUCGAUAUUCCGACUAAUCUAUUUCAGUCAAAAUAUUAGUACUAGGUGUCCUAAGCAUUGAAAUAGUUAACAUGUUAGCCCAUGUAAACGAUUUGUGUUUUGGAUAUCAAAGAUAGGAUAAGAUCCAUAUCAGGAACAAUUUGCAAUGUUAUGAAACUUGGGUUCUACAUGACUCGAGCUACUACACCCUUCGUUACCCCUCUGCAACAUAGCACACGCAUUAUGUAAAACGUAAGUUCUGUUUACAGACUAUGAAAAACAUUACAUCAACUAGUUUAAAGCAUCAAGUUGGAUACAUACGAUGACCUGACUGGUUGGUAAACCCCGUACACCGACAAUAGCACCACUUCCGUAGUUCACGGUACGCCGCGUGGCCUCUGGAUUACACAAUCCACUAACACAAAGGAGCACUCUGGCACAAGCACAUAAUCAACAAAGGACCAAAUUUUCUUUUGUAUAUAUACAACUGCAAAACUGUAUGCCUGCAAGCCAGACAUCAGUUGCCCUGAAACUGUGUCCGUGGCUGGGCUGGUCGUUCCCGGUUGUACAGAAAGUGUCUACUAUUUUAACACUAUCCAGCUUGCAGAGAUGCGGGCGCCUGCGGUUGACGCGUGGAGCGUCAUGUUCCUGGCACUUGUGGUGGUGCUGGAGGUGGCCCAGGCAGACCUCAGUACCUGCAGGUACAUUAAGAACAUCAGUGCCUGCCUUAACGAUGGCACCGGAGAGGUGACCCUCACCCUGGAGGCAGGCACCGCAGAAUGCCAGCCACGCAUCACUAAACCCUGCCACCGACGCGAUGUUCUCCGAAAUAAUGACCCUUAAACUCUAAAAAAUACAGAUGUACUAUUAAUGAAUCUACCCUACGUCAUUAUCUAGCUUGGUGUUGAAUAUUGCAUAUUUCUGCCUGCUUUUGCCAAUUACAAGUGCUUUAAAUAAAAUACAUCCCUGUA